rnacentral:rRNA from 1 species
UACGGGAGGCAGCAGUGGGGAAUAUUGCACAAUGGGCGGAAGCCUGAUGCAGCGACGCCGCGUGGGGGAUGAAGGCCUUCGGGUUGUAAACUCCUUUCGACAGGGACGAAGCUUUUGUGACGGUACCUGUAUAAGAAGCACCGGCUAACUACGUGCCAGCAGCCGCGGUAAUACGUAGGGUGCGAGCGUUGUCCGGAAUUACUGGGCGUAAAGAGCUCGUAGGUGGUUUGUCGCGUCGUCUGUGAAAUUCCGGGGCUUAACUCCGGGCGUGCAGGCGAUACGGGCUGACUUGAGUGCUGUAGGGGAGACUGGAAUUCCUGGUGUAGCGGUGAAAUGCGCAGAUAUCAGGAGGAACACCGAUGGCGAAGGCAGGUCUCUGGGCAGUAACUGACGCUGAGGAGCGAAAGCAUGGGUAGCGAACAGGAUUAGAUACCCUGGUAGUCCAUGCCGUAAACGGUGGGCGCUAGGUGUAGGGGGCUUCCACGUCUUCUGUGCCGUAGCUAACGCAUUAAGCGCCCCGCCUGGGGAGUACGGCCGCAAGGCUAAAACUCAAAGGAAUUGACGG